UUUUUUUUUUUUUUUAUUUCCUUUGGUGUGGUCCCCUUGAGUUUUGGAUCUGCCUGAUUUAUUUUUAGUCUUUACUUCCCAGCAUGAUAUGACAAAACUGAUGGGACGGAGUAGACGUCAUGCAGACAUCGCGGUGAGUGGUAGGAAAUUGGAUUUGUUUUUUACCUUGACAUGUAGAAACAUACCAUCAGCUUGACCUUUCGGAUUAUCAUGCAUUCAUAGUAACAUUCACACAUUGUUUAAAAACUAGAGAUGUGUGGGCCCACCCAUAUGGUUUUGUACAGACCAUCAAAUGGCUUAUUUUAAUGUGAGAUAUGCUCCAUUCCCCUCAAGAGGAUACUAAUGCUCCUAGUUGCACUGGGACACUUGCACAGAUCAAUCCAUUGAUGUAGAAUGUUCCUUGGGUUUUAAUGCACGUUUCCAGGGCUACCAUGCAAACAUCACACUGAUCGGACAAAUACAAAACAUUUGAUCAAUGGUCAUUAAUAUGGCCAGUCAAGAUAAUUUAGACGUAGGUCCAAUCAACAAUUUGAUGUAAGUGCAUCUUGAUUAUAACCAUCAAUAUGCAACUAAAGCAAUUUGAAGUUGCUUGAUCUUCUUGGAUUGCCUUUUAUUUAACCAGCAUCACUGAACUUCAAUCUUUCAAAAAAAAGAAAAAAAAGAUGACAAGGUUUCGAACUGUUUCGCAUUCGAUAUUUUAGCCAUCUGCAUUUUUUGUGACCUAUAUCAUGUUUCCAAUGCCUUGCUUGAAAAUGCAGCUGCGUAGGGCCUAUUCCAUCACAGCAUAUUGAAAUUGGGUUGUAAUGUUUUUGAAACUGAAUAUCAACUUAAAUAGGAAUGUUUCAUCUAUGUGUAGUUAGUAGUUGUUUUCUUGAUGCUUCCAUUGUUGUAAUUUCCUUGCACAUGCAAACAAAUGCUUGAAAGAAUUACUUGUCACAGUCAUGCAAAUGAUUUGGAAUGCGCACGCUCCCAUUACCCCUCCCAUGACACAUAAGAUUUGGAAAUACAAGCUUCCCCUGAAAAUAGCUGCGUUUGGAUGGUUGGUGGCUAAGGCAAAGGUGCUUACAGUAGAUAACUUGGGGAAAAGAGGAAUGAUGUUUUAGGGACUCAUCCAAUUCAGCUCGUUUUGUUUCGUCCAGGGCUAAGCGCAGAUUAUUCGAAUGGGCCUCCAAUGACGGCAAGCUGAAGGACUUCAACCCGAUGUUCUUUGAGAUUUAGUUCUCCCACCUUUCUUUUGUUUUUCUUGUUUUUUGCUGUCUGCUUCCUCGGCAGACUCUCUGUUUGUUUGUUUCUCUUUUUUUCUUUUAAUGAAAUUGCAUUAUCUUUCAAAAAAAACAAAAAGAGGAAUGAUGUUAACCAACAUCUGCCUUUGCUGUAUGGGCGACGCUAAAUCGGCUAACCACCUCUUUAUCCACUGCCCCAUUCUCUCUCAGAUCUGGGCCUCUGUUUUCUCUUGGUUCAACGUUUCUUGUUGCCUCCCAAACUCUACAGGUAUGCUCUUAAAGGCGUGGCAUGGGUUCUCCAUUGGUAUGCAAAAAUCUGAUUUUUGGAGAUUGGCCCUUCUUGUGGUUUGGUGGGCAAUUUGGAAAGAGCGCAAUGAAAGAUGCUUCAAAGGAACAUCCAACCCGGUGGGAUCCAUAGUGGCCAAAGUCCACUUCUACAUUACUGAAUGGGCUGUUUUUUUUCUUUUUCUCCUGUUUGUUAGUAGUUUGUUUUUUCGGCGAGAGUUAGUUUGCCGCUUUCUCAGCGGCCCUUCUCCCCCCGUUUUGUUUCCCUUUUCUUUUUAAUGAAAUUGCAAGUUCCCUCUCAAAAAAAAAAAGAAGAUUUGGAAUGCCAAUAAUCUCUCUCUCUCUCUCUCUCUCUCUCUCUCUCUCUCUCUCUCUCUCUCUCUCUCUCUCUCAUUGUUUUUAAUAAUUACAGUACAAUAUGAAGAACAAUUCUCGUCAACGGGCACCCGGCGAGUUGAAAAACUCUGUUGAUGCUGGUUAAAUAACGAAAGGUGGGUAGCUUGGAUCUUGGAUAAAAUUUGUCGUAAGAUUUCUGCACCAAUUUUAGAAUUCAUGUGAUUUCUCAUUUGAUUGGGAAUAUGCACAGAGGGAAAAAGAAGCUUCUCUGAAUAAAAUACUUCAGUUGGAAAAGAAAUUGUACCAGAAACAGGCAUUGGAGUUGGAAAUUGAGCAACUAAAAAUGGAGCUACAAGUAAUGAAGCAUAUGGAAGAAGCUCCAUGAAGGAUGGUUAUGAAGCAUAUUGUGGAGAGAGAGGGACCCAGCUAUCGGGCGGACAUAAGCCAAGGAUCUCUCUAGCCUGAGCAAUACUAAAGAACCCAGCAAUCCUGCUCUUGUAUGAGGCGACCAGCGCAUUGGAUACAGUAUCUAAGUUGUCAUGGGCUUGAGUCCUGCAGGUGGAUUUUGGGGAUUGGACAGAGAAUAGCAGUGGAACAUAUAAUAAGUGGGAUGCGGUAUCCACAACACGGGAGUGCAAUUGAGAUGCUAGAGGCUGAGCUAUGGGACUUGUCAGCAGGGAAGGCACCAUCUGCUCAGCUAUUUGAUGCAGAGGUCUGUAAGCCACUUGCUUAACUGGGACCUCUGGCAAGGGGUCAGAGACUAAAAGAAAGUUUCACUUGGUUAGCUGGGAGGAGGUAAGGGUAGAUCAUACGGCUCUUGCUCUGUCAAAGACAUUCAUUAUCUUUGCUUGUCAGAUCUUGCAAGUCUUCUAUGAUGAAAAGCAUCAAAUUGAAACAUAAGCAAGCAGCUUCAUCAUUCUGAAUGUGUUUCCACUGCAGAUAAUACUUUGCUCUGUGUGAGGCUCUUUCGCAGGGUAAAGAAGGAUACAACCAUUGGAGAGGUACUAUAUAACAUUUCGUAAGUCUUCUAUGAUGAAUUUUGGUUAAGGUUCUGCAAAUGUGUUUUUUCUUUUGUGCUGGUUUAAUUAAUGGUGACUAGAGGAGGUAUGGAUCGUUGGGCUUCUGAUGGUGGACAUGUCUGUAAUUUAUCUGUGAUGAACUAAUGAUUGAGGUUUAUCUCCUUUUUGUUUCUUUUUUGGAGUUUUUUUUUUUUUUGUUCGAUAGAUAUCUACUAGCCUUUUGUUGUAGUAUAUUAUGGUUUUCUCCCAUGAGUUGUGAUCUCACUGCCACCCUUACACAAUCUCUAUCAUACAGAGAUUCUAUCUUUUAAUUUUGUGUAAUGGGAUGCUCUUUUAGGAUUACUGAAACUCAGAGUGUGGAUGUCAUUUGAUAUACAGGCAAGUCUUGGAUGUUUAUUUGUAUUGGAUCUUUAUUCACAAACUUAGUUCUUGUCGAUAGUCAAUGCAUUGAGUUUCUGUACCUACUGUGCUCGGAUUUAUUUUGUCUUUCAUCUUGUUUCUUUGUUAUUUGUCUCGUUUGUAUCUAGAGCAUGGGAGGUACUUUCAGACAUCGGUAUGUCAGGCCAUUCAGUUAAUCACUUCAGUUAAAAGUACAUAAUCAUAAGAUCGAGCUUCCUAUUUAUUACAAACAGAAAAUUUUCCUAUUUGGUACCUAAUCUGUGCCUAUGUGGCCCACUGUUGUGACUUGACUCGAGACCAAACGAGUUGAUCCAAGUCUAAAAGACAUGGCGUAGAUACUUACAGUAAAAGUAAUAUAAAAUACAAAUGUUGUCAAAGCAUCCAACACUUAUAUUAUUAAAAUAUCAAAUUUCUUUCUAAAAUGAUCACAUUUCUACUCACAUUCAAAUAGAAAUUGUUAAAACUUAAGAUUUGGGAAGUGAGAUGGAUUGGAACAUGUACAUAUGAUUAUCUUCAUUAGU